AUUUGUUCCUUCCACAACAAGUGGGGGGCCUCCUGGUGCCAGGUCCUGUGCGGAGGAGACGCUGCCUGCCGCUGACCAGCCUGGGAUUUAUGGAGAGGCCCUCGGGGGGCAGCCCUGAGUACUGCCGCGCCCAGCAUCCGCACCGCGCCCGCUGCUGAGGCCCCCGCGCCUCCGGCCUCACCAUUGCCCUCGCCCGCUCAUGGCCCCCGCCACCUGGCCCGGGGCUGGCUCUGCGGCCUGAGCCCCCCGCCCCGUUCC
ensembl:lncRNA